GUAGGUGGCAAGCGUUGUCCGGGAAUUAUUGGGGCGUAAAGCGCGCGCAGGCGGUUCGUUUAAGUCUGAUGUGAAAGCCCACGGGCUCAACCGUGGAGGGUCAUUGGAAACUGGAGAACUUGAGUACAGAAGAGGAAAGCGGAAUUCCACGUGUAGCGGUGAAAUGCGUAGAGAUGUGGAGGAACACCAGUGGCGAAGGCGGCUUUCUGGUCUGUAACUGACGCUGAGGCGCGAAAGCGUGGGGAGCAAACAGGAUUAGAUACCCUGGUAGUCCACGCCGUAAACGAUGAGUGCUAAGUGUUAGGGGGGUUUCCGCCCCUUAGUGCUGCAGCUAACGCAUUAAGCACUCCGCCUGGGGAGUACGGCCGCAAAGGCUGA
rnacentral:rRNA from 1 species